GAUGAACGCUGGCGGCGUGCUUAACACAUGCAAGUCGAACGGUGACGAAGAGCUUGCUCUUCUGAUCAGUGGCGAACGGGUGAGUAACACGUGAGCAACCUACCCUUGACACUGGGAUAACAGUUGGAAACAGCUGCUAAUACCGGAUAUGAACCUCACAGGCAUCUGAGAGGUUGGAAAGCUCCGACGGUCAAGGAUGGGCUCGCGGCCUAUCAGCUUGUUGGUGAGGUAACGGCUCACCAAGGCGACGACGGGUAGCCGGCCUGAGAGGGCGACCGGCCACACUGGGACUGGGAUACGGCCCAGACUCCUACGGGAGGCAGCAGUGGGGAAUAUUGCGCAAUGGGCGAAAGCCUGACGCAGCAACGCCGCGUGCGGGAUGACGGCCUUCGGGUUGUAAAGCUCUUUCGCCAGGGAAGAAGCGAAAGUGACGGUACCUGCAGAAGAAGCACCGGCUAACUACGUGCCAGCCGCCGCCGUAACAC
rnacentral:rRNA from 1 species